CAAAUACGAAGUUGGUCUUACAGAACUGGGGAUAGUACCUCUGAUAUCGUUUGAGUGAAUUGCUAGUUACAUACCACCAAAAGCUAAGAUAAGCAGCAGCAGAGGAAAUUUUGAGGACUGUCUGCUCCCUAACUCCUCCCUGCAUCAGAUCUCCCUUCAGCACCCUGGGCUCCUCUCCAGUUCCCUGGCCUCUCUUCUGGGACAUAGAACUCAUUCCUGUGGAUGUGUAAGAACGCUGAUGCCUUAUUCCUCCAUGGCCAGGGAAUAUGUUCAUGAUACAGGAAGAGGACAAGAAAAUGAGCAUUCAUGUGGAAAUAUUAGACAUCUCUCUAGGUGGGUAUUUCAGUACAGGGUCUACCCAUCCCCCUUCAAAUCUGCCCUGUAAGUGACUGCAGAAGUUGAAACUUCCAACACUUGAGGCUCCAUCUUAGAGGCAUCAUUCCUCAUUUGGAAACAUCAUUGCCAGAGGCAGAAAUGGCCCAGCAAGUAAACUUUUUUUGGGGGGGUAUAUAAAAUCAAUUAUUAAAUAAAAUAUUGCAGAAGACUGUAGUUAUAUAGGAAAACUUUUUGAAUUUACUUAACAAUGAGAUAUGAAAGGGAAGAAUUCAAUUCUACCCCCGUGGAACUGACAAUAGGAAAAAUGUUCUCCCUUUCAGACUUGAGAAGGUUUUACUGCUAAGAUCUGCGGAUGGAAUAAUCAGGCUGAAUACAAACAUGCUUUUCUUCUCCGAUAGUGCUUAGGAAGCAGUGGUACUUGCACAACUGUUUGUAAGGGGGAGUGAAGUGAGUUGUCAUCUCAUAGUAAUCUGCCUCUCUCUAUCAUCGGCACAGUUCCUAUUUUUUAUUCCCCUCCGGCUUGCUUAGAUUUUCUUUUGGUUUAUUCUCCUGAAAAGUCUUAGAGAGCAUGAGCUAAUAUCAACUAAAUCGUAAAUAUUUAAAGGCAGGCACAAUAUCUGGUAGUUACUGGGUUAUGACCAUGUAAUGCUUGGUGUGAAACCUGAAUUGUUUUUACUUUGUAUUAGGAAUUAAUACCUAUUACUAAACCUGUAUAAAUAAUAAAGUGGCUGGGAAAAAGACAUAAAAUGAGAAAUUGCUACCAUAGAAACUACCAAUGUUUCCACACUGUCACUGUGGUAUAAAAGAGCUCCGUUUUUAAUAAUUUACCAUUAAAAAUGAAUUUUCUCCAAAAGACCACUUCUAUAGUAAUAUCUCAAUUCCCCAAGAUUAUCUAUCAGAGAUAAAAACCAAAGCUGCCUAAUAUCCACAGUCUAGGGAAGAAUUCAAUUAGCAAAUUCAUGUGUGAGGCUCUGCUUGCACUAGAAAUUCUAGUUUAGGUGAGAAUUUUGGUACUGAUUAUGAUUUUUAGUAGCAUCUAUGUCCCUCAUGAAUCUUAACAUUUCAAGCCAGAUUUAUUUUUAUGUGUUAAUAUUCAAGUACAAGAUCUUACAUAAAUAACUAUACAAGCAAGACUGGAUGUGAAAACAGACAUACAAUAAAUGCACUUGUCAUUUUCUAU
rnacentral:lncRNA from 1 species